AGCAUCUGUUCAGAAGAAUUACAAUGACAACUAAGGACUGAAGAACAUAAAUAGAGGACAGAAAAAAGGUAUUCCAGCUCUGGCGGAAGAGAAGAUGGACAUUCUAGCUCAGGUGGAAAGAGACAGAAGAAAGAUUUUGUUCUUCCUCCCCUUCUGCCUUUUUUUUCAGCCUCCAGUGGACUGGAGAUGCUUAUAUUGGUAAAGAAAGACCUUCUUCACUCAGUCUACUAGUACAAAUGCUUAUCUUUUUCACAAACGUUUUCACAGACACACCCAGAAGUAAUGUUUUACUGGCUACUCUUUUUUUUUAAGACUUUAUUUAUUUACUCAUGAAAGACACACAGAGAGUGGAAGAGACAUAGGCAGAGGGAGAAGCAGGCUCCCUACAAGUAGCCCAAUACGGGACUUGAUCCUGGACUUCGAGAUCACACCUCAUGCCAAAAGCAGACACUCAACCGCUGAGCCACCCAGGAGUCCCAAUUUGGACAUCCCUUAAUCCAGUCAAGUUAACACAUAAAAUUAAGCAUACAAGAACUUUUUCUGAGGCCUAUGUGAGGGGAGAAUGGGGAAGAUUAAAAGUUAAGAAAUUCAUCUUUGCCUUUCCUUGCUUGCCAAAUCAACUUGGGAAAAGAGGUCCUCCGGAUAAGCACAAAUCCACACAAAGGAGGCAUGCGUUUCUGCGUGUGUGUCACUGACAAGGACUCUUGCCCCCUCAAGAUAAUGGAGUGUUAAACUGACAGCAUUCAUCUAUCCCUCCCUGCAUUCUUCCGCCUAGGAAAUUCAAAGACUUAGGUAAAACAACACCAAGACAGAUUAGGAGACUAUCCUCUAGA